GGAGGAAAAGAAACCAACAGGGAUUGCCUCAGUAACGGCGAGUGAAGCGGCAAAAGCUCAAAUUUUAAAGCUGGCACCUCCGGUGUCCGCGUUGUAAUUUUGUGAGGCAUCUCCGGGUGGGGCGCCGGCCUAAGUUCCUUGGAACAGGACGUCAUAGAGGGUGAGAAUCCCGUGCUUGGCUGGCUGUCCCCGUCCAUGUGAGGUGUCUUCGACGAGUCGAGUUGUUUGGGAAUGCAGCUCAAAAUGGGUGGUAAAUUUCAUCUAAAGCUAAAUAUUGGUGGGAGACCGAUAGCGCACAAGUAGAGUGAUCGAAAGAUGAAAAGCACUUUGAAAAUAGAGUUAAAAAGUACGUGAAAUUGUUGAAAGGGAAGCGCUUGAGACCAGACUUCGGUGGGGAGUGAUCAGCCGUCCUUCUGGGCGGUGCACUUGCCCCCCUCCGGGCCAGCAUCGGUUGGGACGGCGGGAUAAAGGUCCCGGGAAUGUGGCUCCUCUCGGGGAGUGUUAUAGCCCGGGUGAAAGCCGCCAGCCCCGACCGAGGACCGCGCCUUCGGGCUAGGAUGCUUG
rnacentral:rRNA from 1 species